rnacentral:tRNA from 1 species
GCCGGAGUAGCUCAGUGGUUAGAGCAGACGUUUCAUACGCGUUAGGUCGGGGGUUCGAUUCCCUCCUCCGGCA